rnacentral:rRNA from 1 species
GAUGAACGCUGGCGGCGUGCCUAAUACAUGCCAGUCGAGCGAACAGACGAGGAGCUUGCUCCUCUGACGUUAGCGGCGGACGGGUGAGUAACACGUGGAUAACCUACCUAUAAGACUGGGAUAACUUCGGGAAGCCGGAGCUAAUACCGGAUAAUAUAUUGAACCGCAUGGUUCAAUAGUGAAAGACGGUUUUGCUGUCACUUAUAGAUGGAUCCGCGCCGCAUUAGCUAGUUGGUAAGGUAACGGCUUACCAAGGCGACGAUGCGUAGCCGACCUGAGAGGGUGAUCGGCCACACUGGAACUGAGACACGGUCCAGACUCCUACGGGAGGCAGCAGUAGGGAAUCUUCCGCAAUGGGCGAAAGCCUGACGGAGCAACGCCGCGUGAGUGAUGAAGGUCUUCGGAUCGUAAAACUCUGUUAUUAGGGAAGAACAAAUGUGUAAGUAACUAUGCACGUCUUGACGGUUCCUAAUCAGAAAGCCACGGCUAACUACGUG